GACAAAAACAUUUUGAUCGCGAUUCUUCCUCGACAAUCGAACAAACACCAUUUAUACAUGGACAAUCGAUCGUAUUUUGACCAUCAAUUUCAGCAACCACAAAAAUCAACCCAAAGAUAAUCAUUGAAAAUUUCAUUAUAGCACAAGGUAAAGUUGAAAAAUAUAUUUCCAGCAAGAAAAUUGCUAAAAUGCAGCAUUUUUUGUGUAAACAAUCGAUUAAUCAAUGGCCAGUACCAAAUGAUGAUGAUGACAUUUCCCGUUUAGA